CUUUGACUACUACUACUGGACUAUCCCAAGGAGGUGAAAGAUAGUAAGGAAAAGUCUUAGGUUUGUUGUGGCUCAUAAAUGUGAAAUGUUACUAGCAUUUGACUUCUUGAUUACUCCUGACAACCCGACCCAGAAAGUAGAGAAAUUUCAAGCAUCUUCUGACUGGUUGAUGGAUUCUGGUAGGCUCCCAAGGGAGCACUCUUGCACAUGUGUACAGACAACUCUGCACCUAAGAUCUGGGAAGGCUUGAUGGUCUGAACUGGAGUGACGGUGCCAAUUAGGCUAGUGAACACGAUCCGAGGGAGAUCUUCGACAGAAGCCGUCUACCUGCUCUUUGUGCUAAGCCGGGGAGGCAGGGAAGGAAGGGAUUGUGUUGGGGAAGAACACAUUAGACCAAAAUAACCACUUGCACUGCCCAUCCUGAGUAGUGUGUCUCCAUAAUUAGGAGGAGGAGUGCCCUUCUGUGGGGUAGAGAAGCCUGUAAGAAGAAGCUUUACGUUAAGCUAGCAUACAUCAAAAAUAAUUGACAAUGGUUAGGCUUCAUUGUAGAGACGGCUGCUCUGGCAUUGCAACCACCAGCCCACCACCCACCUA
rnacentral:lncRNA from 1 species